GAAAAGUCUAGAAGAUUCUGGAAGCACUUGUAGUUCGGAGCCGUACGCACAUGGUGAGAACAUGGGAGAGUCACUGAAUCACCAUCUGCACGUCAAAGAGCGGACGUCUGUGGUUUGUCUUGAGUUUUAUCUGCCGUCCAGUUGUCCUGUCACUCAUUCCAGGACAGAAAUAAGCUAGUGUGAGGCUGAGAGGCAUAGCACUCAAGCUGUGUUUGAUUUCCAUAGACAGAAAACAAUAGGGCAGACUGAGUAUGUAGGCUGAUCCUCUCCUUCCUUUUAGAAGCAAUGGGCGGCUGAGAGUAGCCCCGGAUCGUACCUGUAAGCAGAUACUCUACCACUGCACUACAUCCUCGGCUGCCCCUCUGCAGUGGAGAAGAGAGCCAUGGCUACACCCACCCAGAGCUCCAACACGCAAGAGGCUGAGAAGGAAGGCUGAGAAUGCCGCGCUAGCACAUGCUGGGAGAAUGUGAUAGAGAGACUGAAGUGGAAGUAGGAAGACCAUGAGCUGAAAAAGAAGAAAACCAAAAAACAUAAGUCCAGUUCCAUCACCUUUCUAAAGACAUUCAGCCAUGAGCAGUGGAGAAAAAACAGUCCCUGUCCUUUUCAGCUUCAAGGAGCAUGUCAAGAAAAAUGUCUGAAACCUAGGUCACCAGUGCUUGUCUUGGCCCCAAGUCCACCAGAAGACCCUGACUCCUUCAGAGCAGUCUUGCUUUUCUUCCUUCUUGCCUUUCCUCCUGUCAAUAUCUAAGGUAAUAUUAUCUUUAAUAUAAACCUUAAGUGUUUGAUAAAGGCAUUAUCAAACAUU